UCGCCUGUUUAUCAAAAACAUCGCCUCUUGACCCCCCAUAAGAGGUCUGGCCUGCCCAGUGACUUUAGUUCAACGGCCGCGGUAUCCUAACCGUGCGAAGGUAGCGUAAUCACUUGUCCUUUAAAUAGGGACCUGUAUCAAUGGCAUAACGAAGGCUAUACUGUCUCCUUACUCCAAUCAGUGAAACUGAUCUCCCCGUGAAAAAGCAGGGAUAAAACUAUUAGACGAGAAGACCCCAUGGAGCUUUAAGCCCAGCAACAACCUCCCUCCCCUACUCCCUUUUAAAUUUAAAGACCUUGAUUGCCGCUUUAGGUUGGGGCGACCACGAAGUAUACUAAAACCUUCACGAUAAACGGAGCUUGCUCCUUAUCCACGAGCUACCCCUCUAAGAAUCAGAAUACUGAUAUAACAUGAUCCGAUUUAAUUGAUCAACGAACCAAGUUACCCUGGGGAUAACAGCGCAAUCCAUUUAAAGAGUUCAUAUCGACAAAUGGGUUUACGACCUCGAUGUUGGAUCAGGGUAUCCUAGUGGUGCAACCGCUACUAAAGGUUCGUUUGUUCAACGAUUAAAACCCUACGUGAUCUGAGUUCAGACCGGA
rnacentral:rRNA from 1 species